AGCGAACGCUGGCGGCAGGCCUAACACAUGCAAGUCGAACGGAUCCUUCGGGAUUAGUGGCGGACGGGUGAGUAACACGUGGGAACGUGCCCUUUGGUUCGGAACAACUCAGGGAAACUUGAGCUAAUACCGGAUGUGCCUUUCGGGGGAAAGAUUUAUCGCCAUUGGAGCGGCCCGCGUCUGAUUCGCUAGUUGGUGAGGUAAAGGCGCACCAAGGCGACGAUCAGUAGCUGGUCUGAGAGGAUGAUCAGUCACAUUGGGACUGGUACACGGCCCAAACUCCUACGGGAGUCAGCAGUGGUGAAUCUUGCGCAAUUUGCGAAAGCCUGACGCAGCCAUGCCGCGUGAAUGAUGAAGGUCUUAGGAUUGUAAAAUUCUUUCACCGGGGACGAUAAUGACGGUACCCGGAGAAGAAGCCCCGGCUAACUUCGUGCCAGCCGCCGCCGUAAAAC
rnacentral:rRNA from 1 species